rnacentral:rRNA from 1 species
UACGUAGGGAGCAAGCGUUGUCCGGAAUCAUUGGGCGUAAAGCGCGCGUAGGUGGCUUCGUAAGUCCGCUGUGAAAGUCAAAGGCUCAACCUUUGAAAGCCGGUGGAUACUGCGGAGCUAGAGUCCGGAAGAGGCGAGUGGAAUUCCCGGUGUAGCGGUGAAAUGCGCAGAUAUCGGGAAGAACACCCGUGGCGAAGGCGGCUGCUCGUGGGACGGUACUGACGCUGAGGAGCGAAAGCGUGGGGAGCGAACAGG